UACGUAGGGUGCAAGCGUUAAUCGGAAUGACUGGGCGUAAAGGGUGCGCAGGCGGUCUGCUAAGACAGAGGUGAAAUCCCCGGGCUUAACCUGGGAAUGGCCUAUGUGACUGGCAGGCUGGAGGAUGGCAGAGGGAGGCGGAAUGCCGCGUGUAGCAGUGAAAUGCGUAGAGAUGUGGCGGAACACCGAUGGCGAAGGCAGCCUCCUGGGCCAAUCCUGACGCUCAGGCACGAAAGCGUGGGGAGCAAACAGG
rnacentral:rRNA from 1 species